GACGAACGCUGGCGGCGUGCUUAACACAUGCAAGUCGAGCGGUAAGGCCCUUUCGGGGGUACGACGAGCGGCGAACGGGUGAGUAACACGUGGGUGACCUCGCCCUUAGCUCUGGGAUAAGCCUGGGAAACGUGGGUCUAAUACCGGAUAUGACUCCAUGACGCAUGUUGUGGGGUGGAAAGCCUUGUGCGGCUAGGGAGUGGGCCCGCGGCCUAUCAGCUUGUUGGUGGGGUGAUGGCCUACCAAGGCGACGACGGGUAGCCGGCCUGAGAGGGCGACCGGCCACACUGGGACUGAGACACGGCCCAGACUCCUACGGGAGGCAGCAGUGGGGAAUCUUGCGCAAUGGGCGAAAGCCUGACGCAGCGACGCCGCGUGGGGAUGACGGCCU
rnacentral:rRNA from 1 species